rnacentral:rRNA from 1 species
UACGUAGGGGGCAAGCGUUGUCCGGAUUUAUUGGGCGUAAAGAGCGUGUAGGCGGCCGUACAGGUCAGCUGUGAAAACUCGAGGCUCAACCUCGAGACGUCGGUUGAAACCGUACGGCUAGAGUCCGGAAGAGGAGAGUGGAAUUCCCGGUGUAGCGGUGAAAUGCGCAGAUAUCGGGAGGAACACCAACGGCGAAGGCAGCUCUCUGGGACGUUACUGACGCUGAGACGCGAAAGCGUGGGGAGCAAACGGG